AUUGGCUCUCACUGGUCCAUGGAGGGAAAAGACAAUUCUUGAACCUUCCAGAAAAUCCUACAGGAUGGAUAGCUUGAACAGCAUUCAGGACAAAGCCCAUCAGAAGGAAAAGAAGGAUCAUCUUCUAAGAAAAUAUGACUGCCUCUGAAGCCAAAUUAUGUCAAGAUAUAAGAUCAGGAAUGUCCAGAUGCUGUUUAUCCCAUCUUAAUUAAAUUUGGACUUCUUUGGGGGAAAAAAAGUACCUCAGUUCUAGGAAAAGUUUUUUGGACUCUGAGGCUGUUUGGAUUCUGUUUUAUGAAAAUAAACAUUUUAAUCAAGAUACCAUCAUUCCUAGAUUUUCACUGCGAAGGUAUUUUCUGAAGCAAACCCUCUUGAGCCAAUAUAUGUUCUUAAUAAUAUUCUAUUCAAUGCUGCCCAA